GUAGUAUUCCCUCCGUCCCAAAAUUCUUGUCUUACAUUUUGUUAGAUACGGAUGUAUCUAACACUAAAAUGUAACUAGAUACAUCCGUAUUUAGACAAAUUUAAGACAAGAAUUUUGGGAAGGAGGGAGUACAAA
rfam:Triticum aestivum genome assembly, contig: Triticum_aestivum_CS42_TGACv1_scaffold_506028_6BL